GGUUGAGUGGUCUAGCGGUUAUGAUUUCUGUCUAACAGUGAAGUUCGAACGCUGAUUCAAACUCCUCCUGUACACAGAAGGUUCCCAGUUCGACCCUGGGCUCAAUCA